UGUCUCAGUUCAGCAGGAAG
rnacentral:miRNA from 1 species